GAAACGGGUAGCCUAAUACCGCAUAACGAUCUCAAGACCAAAGAGGGGGACCUUCGGGCCUCUUGCCAUCAGAUGUGCCCAGAUGGGAUUAGCUAGUAUGUGGGGUAACGGCUCACCUAGGCGACGAUCCCUAGCUGGUCUGAGAGGAUGACCAGCCACACUGGAACUGAGACACGGUCCAGACUCCUACGGGAGGCAGCAGUGGGGAAUAUUGCACAAUGGGCGCAAGCCUGAUGCAGCCAUGCCGCGUGUAUGAAGAAGGCCUUCGGGUUGUAAAGUACUUUCAGCGGGGAGGAAGGUGUUGAGGUUAAUAACCUCAGCAAUUGACGUUACCCGCAGAAGAAGCACCGGCUAACUCCGUGCCAGCAGCCGCGGUAAUACGGAGGGUGCAAGCGUUAAUCGGAAUUACUGGGCGUAAAGCGCAGCGCAGGCGGUCUGUCAAGUCGGAUGUGAAAUGCCCCGGGCUCAACCUGGGAAGCUUCAUUCGAAACUGGCAGGCUGGAGUCUUGUAGAGG
rnacentral:rRNA from 1 species